UUCCCUAAAUUUCAUCCUGGGGUGAACUAGGUGUGGCCAAGAUGGACUUAAUGGCAAAGGUGAAGAAGAACUCCUGUCCGCAAAGGAAGUAAUCAUGAUCGGAUCCAGACAAGGGACGAGCAACUGAAGCCGCGCUUGGGUAACAGAAGAUCAGACAGAAGAUCAGGCAGGAGCGGUUUUCGACCAGCAAACACCGGAUGUUGGGGACGGGUAGGGACUUCCCCGCCGGCACAAGGUCGCUUACUGGAAGUCAGCUGCUAACGCAAGCUCAACCCCCUGGUAGCCAGCCACGCACUUUCCCAAACCACCCUCCCCCUUGUAGGGCAAAAGUCAGCCAAGACGUUCCUCUAAAGCGAUGCACGUUAUCAAACGUGGUUUUGACCCAGUGUGUUCUUCACCCCGUUCCCGGCUCCAGAACCUUCAGAACGUCUACACUGCCCCCUGGUGGCUGAAUGUUGUUAUUGCUGUCCCUGAGAAUGUCCUUGGGCCUAGAAGUCCUCGAGGACCAGACAUUCCUGCCCUCCGGACUUCCCCCUUAGGCUGGGAAUGCUAUGAGGUGAGCUUCCCUCAGAGGACUCCAGCAGUGAACCAAGGGCUAUCUGAAGCUACAGAGCAGCGACAUGGUGUCUGCACAUUCAUCUGGACAGCCUCCACCUCAGCACGGAGCCUGUUGACUUCCACUGGCUUGCCUUACAGAUUUUGAAUCUGAGAAUGCUUCUUAGGAGUCUCAAUGGUGGCUUGCACAGAGAAGAAAGAUCUGGGUAUUAAGGUUUUUGAUCUUUGUUGAAGAUGCUAAUAAGCCAGGGUUGUAAGCCUCCACUUUGAGUUACUUUUUCUGGCGGUUUCUCCCACAUCCUACUCGAGUUAAUAAACCAGUUUUCUCUUGUUAAUCUGUCUUUUUAUUAGAUUCCCCCAUUGCAAGCUUAAGAUGAGUAGAGCUAAGAUUUUGUGUCCCCUCUGAGGACCAGGAGCAGGUCAUUUCUUUGAGAAGUGGACUAGGACACACACAUGAUGGAGGGACUGCAGAGGGGAGGGAAAGACAGAACAAACGGCCUGUUUUUGAAGUAGGGACAUCAGUGGCUCUGUCUCUGACAGAACUCCCUGAGGAACUAUGGCCCACGCCGCUGAACCAGCUCAUGAAGGGAGGAGGUGGCAGCUCCACGGGCUGACUCCUGUUCUCCACUCACUGAUUGCUCCCAGGGACAAUAACAGCUCGGAAUUUCCAAGGUUUGCUGCCUGCAGCCCAGCCAGCUCCCACAGUGUCGCAGAAAUCCCUCAGCUAGACAAGGGAGAGGCCAGGCACUUGGGGAGGAAGCUGUGAGAUGCUGGACCGUCUUCCUCAGCCUCCAUCAGGGAGGAAGAGGGACUCACAGGUCGGCUGUGAGCCCACACCAGCCUCUGAUGGUUGAAGACCAUGACAUCAAACAUCUGAAAACUUGACUUAAAUGCUAUUCCUGGCCCUUUCCUUUCAAAUAUUCCUCUUGCCCCAUAUUUUCUUCUCUUUCUGUUUCUGUCCUCUAG
ensembl:lncRNA